AUCUAUGUUGGUCAACGUUUAUUCAUAAAUCUGGUCCUUCCCGUCUCGUGUCUAUUGUAUUUUUGCCAAAUCCAUCAAUAGCAAUUCCCCCUAUUGUUCGAGUCACGGAUAGGCAACUUUCCUAAAACAUUGCUAUUGGUUAGUUGGGCAAAAAGACAAUACACACGUGACGGUGAAGGACCAGAUUUAUGAAUAAACGUUGACUAACAUAGAUAAUGAGUCAUAUUAUUAUUCUAAUGAGUUUGGCCUGUUUCAAACGUCGCGCUUCUCAUGUGCCGA